AUGCUUAUACGGACUCUACAUCACAUAGAUAUGUACGCAUGAUCCUCAAGUGGGGGCAUGUGCACGCUCUGUUCACACAUCCACUCACACCUGUGCACCCUCCAUAGUUCUGCAGCCUGGGGGCUCUGUUCCCUGCCGUGGUUCUAUGUAUUUACACACACACUGUGUAGAAAACUCUUGUGAAGCGUACCCCGCUUAAAGCAAUAUAUUACAACUUUCUCCAACGGAUAUCUUGUGUCUCUCAUCUAUAAAAAAAACACCGAAAUGUGAUAAAAAAUGUGAAUUGUGCAAAUCUCAGAAUCUUCUAAACUUUGAACGCACCUUGUGCCCCCUGUGUAUAUCCAAAGGGAUGUGUGUGUGAGAAUAUUGAGAACCUCUCCUCUCAUGUGUUUGUCAUGAGAAGAUUGUACUUUGUGGGGCUUGUUGUGCUGUGGGCGCCUCCUCUCACACAAAUUAUAUUGUGACAGUGUGUGGGGAUCUCACGUGUGAUAACUAUAUACACUUGUGGGUUUCUCUCUCGUAACCUCUUCAGAGAAAAGUGUGCUGUGGCUCAUAUAUGUGUCUCCUCUCUGAGGAGACAUCUCUGAACACUUGAUAUCUCAUCUCGUAGGACAACACGCUGUAAUUAUACAUAUAUCUAAGAGGGAGAAAAA
rnacentral:rRNA from 1 species